AUGGUGUGCGAUGGUGUGCUCACCGACGCUCAGGUAGGUGGCCAGCGUAGGCGUGAUGAAUCUCCGACCAGGUCUGCCCAGUCGACGGGAAGAGUAAAUCCGCAGGCCCCGGCUGGACUAAAAGCUGAGGCUCCGACGACGACCAUCUGUAUCUUCUGUUACUGCCGUUACAAGCUUCGUCUCGGGAGUGCGCCAUCGGACCGUGUGCCCUGUCCAUCAAGGAUGAGCGCCCUGGAGCUAUCAAUGUGUGAAUACGCUGAGCAACCUGACAAGAGUGUGGUCCGACCUGAGCUAGGUCUUAGUUUUGAUUCACUGGGCGAGGCGUAUGAUUUCUACAACUUGUAUUCUUGGGAAAUUGGUUUUGGGAUAAGAUAUGGAAAAGGCAGGCUGAAAGCUGAGAGAACCAAAAGCAUGCAGGAGAUAGUUUGUGGUUGUUCGGGGAAGCCAGACGAAACAGCAGGUCGUGCAGAUGCGAGUGCCCGGCUUUGA
rnacentral:rRNA from 1 species